AUUGAACGCUGGCGGCAGGCUUAACACAUGCAAGUCGAGCGGAGCGAGGGUGCUUGCACCUUAGCUUAGCGGCGGACGGGUGAGUAAUGCUUAGGAAUCUGCCUAUUAGUGGGGGACAACAUUCCGAAAGGGAUGCUAAUACCGCAUACGCCCUACGGGGGAAAGCAGGGGAUCUUCGGACCUUGCGCUAAUAGAUGAGCCUAAGUCGGAUUAGCUAGUUGGUGGGGUAAAGGCCUACCAGGGCGACGAUCUGUAGCGGGUCUGAGAGGAUGAUCCGCCACACGGGGACUGAGACACGGCCCAGACUCCUACGGGAGGCAGCAGUGGGGAAUAUUGGACAAUGGGGGGAACCCUGAUCCAGCCAUGCCGCGUGUGUGAAGAAGGCCUUUUGGUUGUAAAGCACUUUAAGCGAGGAGGAGGCGCUCUAGGAUAAUACCCUAGAUGCGUGGACGUUACUCGCAGAAUAAGCACCGGCUAACUCUGUGCCAGCCGCCGCAGUAAUAC
rnacentral:rRNA from 1 species